GUGAGGAAUAUUGGUCAAUGGACGAGAGUCUGAACCAGCCAAGUAGCGUGAAGGAUGAAGGUCCUACGGAUUGUAAACUUCUUUUAUAAGGGAAUAAACCCUCCCACGUGUGGGAGCUUGUAUGUACCUUAUGAAUAAGCAUCGGCUAACUCCGUGCCAGCAGCCGCGGUAAUACGGAGGAUGCGAGCGUUAUCCGGAUUUAUUGGGUUUAAAGGGAGCGCAGACGGGUCGUUAAGUCAGCUGUGAAAGUUUGGGGCUCAACCUUAAAAUUGCAGUUGAUACUGGCGUCCUUGAGUGCGGUUGAGGUGUGCGGAAUUCGUGGUGUAGCGGUGAAAUGCUUAGAUAUCACGAAGAACUCCGAUUGCGAAGGCAGCGCACUAAUCCGUAACUGACGUUCAUGCUCGAAAGUGUGGGUAUCAAACAGGAUUAGAAACCCUAGUAGUCC
rnacentral:rRNA from 1 species